rnacentral:tRNA from 1 species
AAAAUCCGUCGACUUUUUAAAUCAUGAGGGUUCAAGUCCCAUCUAU